rnacentral:rRNA from 1 species
UACGUAGGGGGCAAGCGUUGUCCGGAUUUAUUGGGCGUAAAGAGCGUGUAGGCGGCUUUACAGGUCCGUUGUGAAAACUCGAGGCUCAACCUCGAGACGCCGGUGGAAACCGUAAAGCUAGAGUCCGGAAGAGGAGAGUGGAAUUCCUGGUGUAGCGGUGAAAUGCGCAGAUAUCAGGAAGAACACCCGUGGCGAAGGCGGCUCUCUGGGACGGUACUGACGCUGAGACGCGAAAGCGUGGGGAGCGAACAGGG